ensembl:lncRNA
UUUUGAAUUUCCCCAGACAGACUGUCACACCCACACAGAAAACACAUUUAUAAUCAUGAAGUAACAAUAACUGUUCAUACCAGUCUGUCGUUAAAAACAAGAAUUGCUUCUAAACUGGUUUAUAAACACUGUGAUGACUUAAAGGGAGGACCUAUGUCUUAUUUUAUGACUAGGUUGGGUGGUGAUUCUUUGUAGGGAGUGUUAUAGUUGUUUUCGUAUCUUCUUCACAUUUCUGUUGCACUGUUUAGUCCCACUCUAGUUAUGUUUAGAAUCCCUCAGUCUUCUCUGUGAGAUAUAUUUGCUGCCUUCUCUCUUUUGCAGUGUUUUACAGUAAACGUGGCCUCCCUGGGCUGACAAGACAGGAUAAAUGAUCCUUCUCCUGUUCUAGAGUCAACAGAUCUUGGCAGUGUGGAUGGGAGGGGUUGUCUGCUAGGAAUCCUUCUGGUCUGAGCUGUAACCUUUCCUGGAACACGCCUCAUUUUUUGUUCAGCAGCCACAAACUCAGUCCCCAUCCAAAUCCAGCCCCCAAAUGCAUGCGAUUGGCUGAUGUGGAAGAAACAACAAUAGGGGAAGGACAAAAGCAAAGUGACGUCCACCCAGUUUCAACAUUUCUGCUCAGACCCUUUCAAAGCUGCCACACAAAGAGGGGCCACAGCCAGGGGGAGAAAGAGAGUAUUGUUUGGCCACAAAACCACCAUUACAUCAACAAUAACUCAUGUAGCCAAUACAGAAUAUGAAGAGAAUACUGUGUGUGAGGAAACGCAUUGUGUUGGGGGAGGGGGUGUGCUUUGGAGAAAUUAAGGUCACUGAACCAAGUUAACUUCAUUUAUUGGGAUUAGUUAUUUUAUGAAUAAUGUCAUGUUUAGUUCCUUGCAUGUUUGAAUCAAGUUUGACCCAGAGGUAAUUUUACAGUAUAAAUCUUUGUUUAUUGUAUAAAUCACUCCAUUUUACAUAUGGAGACAUAGAUACAUGUAUUUCACUUUUUAAGUUUGACUCAGUCUUUAAGGAAAAAAUAAGAUAGAAAGCCGGAAACAAAUACAUAGUGUAGGAAUGCUGUUUUCAUGUAACAAGCCUUAUGACUCUUUAAACAGUCUAAAGGGUCUUUUCAUGCUUUUAUUUCCAACUAUGAAGAAAAAAUGCUGUCCAAAACUGUCUAAUUUAUUUAUUCAGGCUAAUCAAAUUAUACACCAUGAAAUACUUGUGCAUACCUAGAGGGAUAAAGUCGGAUCUGAUAACUGUCCAGCACAUUGCAUCAAUGUAACAUUAUACUGUAUUGUUCAAGGACAAGGUAAGGUGCGCAGCUUUUGAAAGGACACGGGAAGAACUGGCAUACCUCUAUAUUAUCUGCAGGGGAGGUGGAUGAGACAAUUCACAAUAUUUGUCUUAUAAAAAUUCUGUUAUUCAGAACACUGUGGAAUAUAAGCACAAAGCACUAUGAGUUUCCGUUGCACUAUUCAGUCUGCCUUUUCAAAUAUAUUGAAAAGGUGGCAAUUGUGUUAGUGAAGCAAACUUUUAAUCAGGGGUGGGUUUCAUUUAAACUUAAGACGGAUAAGCAUGUUCAUUCAUGCACAUGUAGUGCAUUUAAGGAAAUGGAUUAUCUGCAUUGACACUUGAAUAAAGAGUUAAAGUGCAUGCA